AUCGCAAACCAAUUUUCUCCAGAAUUUUCUUUUUCCGCCUCAGUGCACGCUGGUCUAACCUCUGAACCCUAAUACUGAUUUUCCUUUUCCUUUUCCUUUUCCUUUUCCUUUUCUUCUUCUCAUUAUCAGAUGUUUGUGAAUUCUACGGCCUUUGUGAUUCAGGUGAGGAAAUUUUUUGUCUGUAUGGACAUCCUAAUGAAACAUGGGAAAUGGUUCUUCCAGUAGGCAGAGGUUCCACCGGAGCUUCUAGAGCCUGCACUUGGAAUUAAUUUUGCAACAGAUGGCAUGGACAGAAAAUAUUGGCGACCUCUUGUUGCUGUACAUGGUGAUUCCUGUUUGCUCUCUGUGGCUUUCUAUUUUGGAGCAAGACUUGACCGAAGCAAAAGCAAGCAUUGAGUAUCAAACUCCACACAUGCAACUAUGGCGGACUUAGUAAUUUCAUCCAACAGGUAGCGGCUUUGCACUUACUAGAAGAUACAUAAAUCCCAAUUCAGGAAACUUUUGAACAUCAUCUCUGACAACUUCUUAGGUGAGGUAAUUAAGAGGAAAAGGGAACAUAAAGUCGAAUGGGAUAAUGGUGAAAAUUGAAUUCUAUAUGGAAGAACAGAAAUUCCUUCAAGAUCAGCCAGAGGGAAGAAUGUUGCCUUCUACAUUUUUACAAUUGUUUAGCACAUGAAAUGUAACACUCUUAACUUAGCCUUCCUCUGUCAUUUAUAACUUUACAAAUUGGUCUUCUGAAGGAACAUGACGAACCACAAGCUGCUUUUGAGCUAUCUUUUCGCAAAUGAGGUGCGGCCAUCGUUUUCAGUAUGUUUGGAACGAUUGUAAAGCACCGGAUUAGCAACAUGGUACGUGUGGCACUUACAUUAUCACAAAGCAGUAGUGGAACAAGCAUUGAUUUCAGACGACAUAAGGACUGAAACCACAUCAAUUCAGCAGAAACAUUGCACAUAUAUGACGAUCAUCAUCGGGACAAUUAAGGAGAGAUGAUCAAACUUAGAAAAAAUAAUUAAAAGAUAUAGUACUAAACUUAAGAUAUCGUAGGAUGUGCUUAACAGGAAGCUAAUGUACAAAAGUAGGAGCAUGAAGGAACGUACACACUUCGUUUAAUAUAAUGACAAUGAUGAAUUUUUUACUCUUAA